rnacentral:rRNA from 1 species
UACGUAGGGUGCAAGCGUUAAUCGGAAUUACUGGGCGUAAAGCGUGCGCAGGCGGCUUUGCAAGUCAGAUGUGAAAUCCCCGGGCUUAACCUGGGAACUGCAUUUGUGACUGCAAGGCUAGAGUACGGUAGAGGGGGAUGGAAUUCCGCGUGUAGCAGUGAAAUGCGUAGAUAUGCGGAGGAACACCGAUGGCGAAGGCAAUCCCCUGGACCUGUACUGACGCUCAUGCACGAAAGCGUGGGGAGCAAAAGGG